GUGUCGCCGAAGAGUCCCAAACCAGGACGAAACAACUGUCCAAUAC
rnacentral:hammerhead_ribozyme from 1 species